rnacentral:rRNA from 1 species
GUGUCUAUCGUACCUUGUUGCUUCGGCGGGCCCGCCUCACGGCCGCCGGGGGGCUUCUGCCCUCUGGCCCGCGCCCGCCGAAGACACCAUUGAACGCUGUCUGAAGAUUGCAGUCUGAGCAAUUAGCUAAAUAAGUUAAAACUUUCAACAACGGAUCUCUUGGUUCCGGCAUCGAUGAAGAACGCAGCGAAAUGCGAUACGUAAUGUGGAAUUGCAGAAUUCAGUGAAUCAUCGAGUCUUUGAACGCACAUUGCGCCCCCUGGUAUUCCGGGGGGCAUGCCUGUCCGAGCGUCAUUGCUGCCCUCAAGCACGGCUUGUGUGUUGGGCCUCCGUCCUCCUCCGGGGGACGGGCCCAAAGGCAGCGGCGGCACGCGUCCGGUCCUCGAGCGUAUGGGGUUCGUCACCGCUCUUGUAGGCCGGCCGGGCUUGCCGACCAUCAAUCUUUUUCCGGUUGACUCGGACAGGUAGGAUACCGCU